AUGCGCCACCACCAUCUCCUCCGCUGCCGCGCGAUGCCUAUCCUGCCGUCGCCGCCGAGGACGCUGCGGGUUUCGGGGAGCCUUGUGCACCACCGCCUCAUCCGAUGCCGUGGGUUGCCUAUCCCGCCGAGGACGCCGGGGGUCUCGGGCGGGCGCCUCUUCUCCUCCCUGCCGCUCCCGCCGCCUCUCCAGUCCCCAAGAGAGGUGCAUGUUUGGUAUCUUUGCCCCGAUGAGCUGAAUAAUCAGUCCCAGCUGAAUAUGUAUGAAGAACUCCUGUCUCCUUCUGAAAGAAAGUAUGCUGACUCUAUGAAAGCAACAUUGUUGCGGAAAGAUGUUGUUUUGUCCCGUGCAUUGUUGCGCACCACCCUCUCAAGAUAUACAGAUUGUAAAAUUGAUCCGAGGUCAUUUGAGUUUAAGAAGAACAAAUUUGGCAAACCUGAGGUAUUGUGGCCACUGGAUGAUAGCACUGCGGAGCAACCUUUGCAUUUCAAUAUUUCACACACAACUUCUUUGAUUGCCUGUGGCAUUGCCAUUAAUGCUCAUAUUGGCAUUGAUGUUGAAGAGAAGAAGCGGAAUACAACCAAGAAUAUUUUAUCUCUUGCUCGCCGUUACUUCACCCCUUCUGAAGUUGAUAGUCUAGCUGAGAUUUCUGAUUCAGAUGCUCAGCGGAAGGAAUUCCUGAAACUAUGGACUCUUAAAGAAGCAUAUGUAAAAGCUCUUGGAAUGGGUUUCUCAGGUGCUCCAUUCAGUACGUUUUCUAUAAUGCUGGAAACAAGCAAGGGAAUUAGGAUUUCUAAGACAUCGAAUACUUCCAGGCCUGGUUGUGACCAUCUGUCUGAGAACUGGCUGUUUACACUAGCGGAGCUAAAUAGUUCUCACUACAUGUCAGUUUGUAUAGAGGACAGCUCCAGAAGUCAAGGUCCUGAAGACAGUCCAGCAUCAGUAGGAUUGAAAGUAUGGAAGACCGUGCCAUUUGUUGAAGAUACACUCGUCUCUGGAACAGAAGCUGUAAAACUUAUUGCCUGA
rnacentral:rRNA from 1 species